rnacentral:rRNA from 1 species
CGUCGAGCUACUACGGUAGUGAAGUCAUUGAUGCCAUGCUUCCAGGAAAAGCCUCUAAGCUUCAGAUUGUAAGGAAUCGUACCCCAAACCGACACAGGUGGUCGGGUAGAGAAUACCAAGGCGCUUGAGAGAACUCGGGUGAAGGAACUAGGCAAAAUGGUACCGUAACUUCGGGAGAAGGUACGCUCUUGAUGGUGAAGUCCCUUGCGGAUGGAGCUGACGAGAGUCGCAGAUACCAGGUGGCUGCAACUGUUUAUUAAAAACACAGCACUGUGCAAAAUCGUAAGAUGACGUAUACGGUGUGACGCCUGCCCGGUGCCGGAAGGUUAAUUGAUGGGGUUAGCGCAAGCGAAGCUCUUGAUCGAAGCCCCGGUAAACGGCGGCCGUAACUAUAACGGUCCUAAGGUAGCGAAAUUCCUUGUCGGGUAAGUUCCGACCUGCACGAAUGGCGUAAUGAUGGCCACGCUGUCUCCACCCGAGACUCAGUGAAAUUGAAAUCGCUGUGAAGAUGCAGUGUACCCGCGGCUAGACGGAAAGACCCCGUGAACCUUUACUACAGCUUGGCACUGAACAUUGAACCUACAUGUGUAGGAUAGGUGGGAGGCUUUGAAGACGUGACGCCAGUUGCGUUGGAGCCGUCCUUGAAAUACCACCCUUGUAUGUUUGAUGUUCUAACGUUGGCCCCUAAUCGGGGUUGCGGACAGUGCCUGGUGGGUAGUUUGACUGGGGCGGUCUCCUCCCAAAGAGUAACGGAGGAGCACGAAGGUGGGCUAAUCACGGUUGGACAUCGUGAGGUUAGUGCAAUGGCAUAAGCCCGCUUAACUGCGAGAAUGACGGUUCGAGCAGGUGCGAAAGCAGGUCAUAGUGAUCCGGUGGUUCUGAAUGGAAGGGCCAUCGCUCAACGGAUAAAAGGUACUCCGGGGAUAACAGGCUGAUACCGCCCAAGAGUUCAUAUCGACGGCGGUGUUUGGCACCUCGAUGUCGGCUCAUCACAUCCUGGGGCUGAAGUCGGUCCCAAGGGUAUGGCUGUUCGCCAUUUAAAGUGGUACGCGAGCUGGGUUUAGAACGUCGUGAGACAGUUCGGUCCCUAUCUGCCGUGGGCGUUGGAAGAUUGAAGGGGGCUGCUCCUAGUACGAGAGGACCGGAGUGGACGAACCUCUGGUGUUCGGGUUGUGUCGCCAGACGCAUUGCCCGGUAGCUAAGUUCGGAAUCGAUAACCGCUGAAAGCAUCUAAGCGGGAAGCGAGCCCUGAGAUGAGUCUUCCCUGAUACUUUAAGUAUCCUAAAGGGUUGUUCGAGACUAGAACGUUGAUAGGCAGGGUGUGUAAGCGCUGUGAGGCGUUGAGCUAACCUGUACUAAUUGCCCGUGAGGCUUAACCAUACAACACCCAAAGGGUUUUG